GUGGGGAAUAUUGGACAAUGGGCGCAAGCCUGAUCCAGCCAUGCCGCGUGAGUGAUGAAGGCCUUAGGGUUGUAAAGCUCUUUCGCCCGCGAAGAUAAUGACGGUAGCGGGAGAAGAAGCCCCGGCUAACUUCGUGCCAGCAGCCGCGGUAAUACGAAGGGGGCUAGCGUUGUUCGGAAUCACUGGGCGUAAAGCGCACGUAGGCGGACGUUUAAGUCAGAGGUGAAAGCCUGGAGGUCAACUUCAGAACUGCCUUUGAUACUGAACGUCUCGAGUCCGGGAGAGGUGAGUGGAACUGCUAGUGUAGAGGUGAAAUUCGUAGAUAUUAGCAAGAACACCAGUGGCGAAGGCGGCUCACUGGCCCGGUACUGACGCUGAGGUGCGAAAGCGUGGGGAGCAAACAGGAUUAGAAACCCGGGUAGUCC
rnacentral:rRNA from 1 species